GGUGGAUGCCCUGGCAGUCAGAGGCGAUGAAGGGCGUGCUAAUCUGCGAUAAGCGCCGGUAAGGUGAUAUGAACCGUUAUAACCGGCGAUACCCGAAUGGGGAAACCCAGUGUGACUCGUCACACUAUCAUUAACUGAAUCCAUAGGUUAAUGAGGCGAACCGGGGGAACUGAAACAUCUAAGUACCCCGAGGAAAAGAAAUCAACCGAGAUUCCCCCAGUAGCGGCGAGCGAACGGGGAGGAGCCCAGAGCCUGAAUCAGCAUGUGUGUUAGUGGAAGCGUCUGGAAAGGCGCGCGAUACAGGGUGACAGCCCCGUACACAAAAGCGCAUGUGCUGUGAGCUCGAUGAGUAGGGCGGGACACGUGGUAUCCUGUCUGAAUAUGGGGGGACCAUCCUCCAAGGCUAAAUACUCCUGACUGACCGAUAGUGAACCAGUACCGUGAGGGAAAGGCGAAAAGAACCCCGGCGAGGGGAGUGAAAAAGAACCUGAAACCGUGU
rnacentral:rRNA from 1 species